rnacentral:lncRNA from 1 species
GUUAUAAGAAAAUAUUGAUUAUUUAAUAUCAAUGGAUAAACCAUGACGGAUUGUUACAUAGGAUUUUGAAAUUUGAAAUUUUAACAAGUAGGAUAAGGUAUACCACAAGUCGCUAAAACUUUGUGAGCAUUUUCAGAUGUAACAUACUGAGAAAACAAUGGAUUUUGUAUGUAACCACACAAACACGACUCUUGUUCUUUCAGUUUUCCGCAGCAUUCAGCGGACGGUUGACUUCCGGUUUGUAAUGCUGGUAUGCAUGUCAUAAGUUCUGUCGGGAUGCAUGCCACUUUCUCUUCAAAGACUGCUUUGGUCGGAGCUAAAGCCGACAGAAGGACUAUCACAAAUGCGAUGCAUACUACUCCUGUGAACUUCAUGUUGAUUAUUGGGUUCCAACACAUGUUUUGUAAGCUUGGCGACUCUUCAACCUUAGUUCUAGUUUUUUUUCUGAGAAAUGUUUGAGAAGUUGAUUUUGAGGUUUUGAUAGUCAAGCUAUUAUAUAGAUGGAUGUUGGAGUAAUAUUUGUAAGAGGCUGACGUUUUGAGGUAGAGUAUCUUGAAGUUUUGACUGUAAGCUUUUCGUAUCUAUGUAAGAUAUGUUACUUUGGUAAUUAUUAUAAGAUAUGUAUAUCCAUACAUCCAGAUCUUGAUACAUGUUAGCAAUUCUUUUUUUUUUGGUCAAAGCAAUUCUAUAAAAGAAAACUACUUAAUAGGAAAAUAUCAAAAUUUGCAAGGAAUCUCAUAUAAUAUUUAACUAGUAAAGAAUGAAAAUAUAUGUUCAUAAUAAACCAUCAAUGCAUAGAUUAUCUAUAGGUUUUUUGAAAAUUUACAGCACUAAUUUCCCUAAAAAAUUGAUAUGCAAAUGAUUUGUAGUUAUCCAGAAAGUUAACAAAACAAACAAAAAGUAGAAUAUAUCUAUAACUAUUGUGACUAGAAAUUUAAUAUGCAAAUAAUUUAUAGUUAUCCAGAAAGUUAACAAAACAAACAAAAAGUAGAGUAUACCUGUCACUAUUGUGAUAAUUUUCCAAAAUUAAAUAUAAAAACAGUUGUCAAUAUUUUGUAAAUAGAAAAUUAAAUUAAACAUAUGAAAUCUAAAUAAAAUGAUAGUGCAAAACAAAACAAAAACAAGGAAAAGUAAUAAUACGAAUUUGUCCACAAGGAAAAAAAUAUGAACUGACUCUAACAAUGAUUAUGUAAACAAAUAGAUAUUAUUUGUAUAGUUUUUUAUCAUUCUAUGUGAUACUUUGAUUGAUCAUUUCACAACAAUUUUUUACGUCAGGUAGAAUACUUUCGCUAUGUUUGUGAAACGGUCCGGAAAGAUGGGAAUUUGAAACUCACUGCUAAAAAUAAAAUCCAUGAGUGAGAUUCUUUGAAGAUAUUGAAAUGUGUUCCAUAUGAUUCCUGAAGAAGACUUAGCUCCUUCCACCAUGUUGUUAAAUACCCGGUAAGGCCUCCGGUUCAUUCGUUUCCUUUCUUUUAUGUCUUCUAUUUUUACUCCUUUAACUUCUCUUUUCAGACUUUUGAGUGUAUUUUUGUGGACCCCGACAAAGAGGUAUAACAGACGAUAGUAUAACACUUUUUUUUUGUGACACGUUUCAUUAAAUAUAAGAAGAAGCUGGCCUCAGGCCCAAGUCAGCCCGUUAACGGGUCCAUUACAGAGAUAAACGGAGAGUCUUUUUUGCCAGAAGAUCGGCAUCAAUGUUUUGUAAACGAGGGAGAUGAGAAAACGAUAUCUCGACGAAAGCAGAGGUCAUCUGUUGGAUAUUCUUAACGAUACCAAAGAUUUCUGAUACCUGCGUGUCGUUGUUGAUGGCUCGAACGAGCGUUGAAUUGUCAGAGAACAUCUUGAGGUGUUUAAACUCACUGUUCACCGCUGAGAGGAUUGCAGAGCGAAGGGCGAGGGCUUCAGCUAUUAACGGAGAUCCGACGAAGUCCUGAGUCCUGGAUCCUUGAUUGAUCAUACUUCCUGNNNNNNNNNNNNNNNNNNNNNNNNNNNNNNNNNNNNNNNNNNNNNNNNNNNNNNNNNNNNNNNNNNNNNNNNNNNNNNNNNNNNCUGCUGAAUCUGUGAAAUUCCAUGCGAAUCCUGCUCGAUAUAAUCUACUGUCAAAAGCCGCAUCUGAUUUGCCGAUCGUUAGCUUCGCUGGCACUAUCGGAGCACGCGGUGUCCUGUGAAGGCGAGGUAGAGUGUUGUUUGUAGCUUUAUCUUUGUCUUGUGCCAUAUUCCAUUCUCGAGCUAACCUGAUUCCUUUGGCUGCUACUUCCAUAGGUGAUAAUGUUCUGUUCUCAAAGAUUGCAAGGUUUCGAGCCGUCCAAAUUGCCCAGCAGAUCCAUGGAAGGAUGUUAUUUGACACUCCUGUUGGUGGGAGACAGAUUGCUUGUCGAAAAGCCACAAUUGCGUCUCGGAAGCUGCUCCCUGUAGCUAGGUGAACUACAUGUUUGAGAGGGAUCAUGUUCCAUGCCUUUUGUGCGAAAGGACAGUGAAAGAAGGUAUGCAUCGCUGAUUCAAUCCCUUUGCAUUUAUGGCACAACGCAUCAUCUCGGAUUCCUCUUUGUUGUAAUUGUUCUCCAAAGGGUAAUGCUCUCUGGAUCACUGACCAAAUGAAUAUCCUCAUCUUUGGUGAGCAGGGUGCGGACCAGACAUCCUUUAUCCAAUCAAAAGGUCCUUGGUUUGGUAGUCUUUGAUCGUUCUUCCUCAUCGAGGCCACAUAGUAUCCUGAUCUCGUUGAGUAUGUACCUGAAGGGAGAGGCUGCCAAAUGUAUAUAUCUUCCGUUUUGGAGAGGCUCGGUUGUAGCAGUUGUAUCUCCAUUGCAACAUGAGGUAGGAGUUCUUCGAUCCUUCUUUUAUUCCAGGUCAUUUCCGUUGUCAAUAGAUCAGAGACUGUCAGGUCAAGUGCUUCUUUCGGAAUGGGCCCGUAUGGUUUGAUGUGUUUCUUUGUAGAAAUCCAUGAAUCUUUCCAGAGUUUUGUUGUCUGCCCAUUUCCUAUAGCUUUCCCUAGGUUCUCCUUUAGAAGGUCCCUUCCAUGUAAGAUGCUUCUCCAACCAUGAGAGCAUGUAGCUGGAACCAUAGCAUCUAAGAAGUGUUUUUUGUGACAAUAUUUCCCUAGGAGAAUGCGGGCCAAGAGACUAUCUGGUUUGGUUAGGAUUCUCCAAGCCUGUUUAGCUAGUAAUGCCUGAUUGAAUAGUUGUAUGUCCCUUAGGCCAAGUCCACCUCCUGCUUUUGGUUUUGUUAGGGUUUCCCAAGCCACCCAGCACAUUUUUCUACUUCCAUCGGGAGAAUCCCACCAAAAUCUUGUAAGGACUGAUUGGAUUCUUUUACAUAGACUGACAAGUAGCUCGAAACACGACAUGGAGUAAGUUGGAACAGCAGUAAGGACUGCUUUCAGCAUUGUCAAUUUUCCGGCUUUGGAGAGACGUCUCGUGGAUAAGCUUUGUGCUCGUUGCCUUAUUCUAUCAACAAGGCUAGUGAAGAGAUCUUUCUUUUUCCUCCCAAAGUGUUCAGGUAACCCCAAGUAUUUACCUGAGCCUCCUUCGUUGUUAAUGCCUAAGUGGUCUUUGACAUUCCUCUUUAUUUCCUCUGGAGUUUUAGAAGAGAAGGUGAUCGAGGAUUUAGCUGCAUUGAUCAUCUGUCCAGAGGCUUUCUCAUACUCCCAGAGGAUGGUUUUCAGCUUCGUGUAGCAUGAUUUUGACGUUUGACAGAAGAACAUGGUUUCGUCUGCAAAGAGUAAAUGAUUUACUCUUGGACAGUUCCUCGCCACUCUCACUCCUUGCAAGGUACCUUCUCUCUCUCCUUUCUGACAUAAUCCUGAAAGAACUUGGCCACAUAGGAUAAAUAGGUAUGAGGAGAGUGGAUCUCCCUGUCGAAUUCUCCUCUUAGGUAUCACAGAACCAUAAGCAGAGUCGUUAAUUAGAUAGGAAUAGGAUACAGUGGUCACGCAUUGCAUGAUCAGAGUGAUCCAUUUGUCGUGAAACCCUAACCUCUUCAGUACUUGUGAGAUGAACCGCCAUUCUACUCUGUCGUAGGCUUUAGACAUGUCUGUUUUGAUGGCCAUUGUGCAUCUCUUUGUUGCUUGUGAUGUUUUCAAAUAGUGAAGUACCUCAUGCGUUAUUAGAACAUUGUCUGAGAUAGCCCUUCAUGGGAUAAAAGCUGACUGGUUCUCCGAUAUGAUCAAGUGUAGAACUGAUUUCAACCUUAGAGCAAGUAGCUUAGAGAUUAUCUUGAAGAACACGUUGCAUAGCGCUAUUGGCCUGUAAUCAGAGACUCUCUUUGCCCCAAUGAUUUUUGGAAUUAGUCUAACAUGUGUCACGUUUUGUGAAGGUCUGAGCUGUCCUGAAGCAAAGAAGAGUUGGAUUUCACGCACUACCUCAGGUCCUACAACUUCCCAAUUUGCUUGGAAGAAACUGGCUGAGAAACCGUCAGGUCCAGGUGCUUUAUCAGGGUGGAUUGUGAAGAUUGCUUCUCUUAUCUCUGAUGGUGUGGAAUCCUUAAUGAGUUCUUCAUUAAUUUCAGGUGACACACAUGGAGAUAGAGCUUCCUCGAUCGUAUGAAGCCCAUCGUAAUCAGAGGAGAUGAAGAGCUGGUUAUAGAACUGACAAAUAACCUUUGCGAUUUGUUCUUCCUCAAAAUGAGGUACCUCCAUGUCAUCUUCUAUUACGGUCAUUCUGUUCUUUGCUUUCCUUGCCUUAGUAGUAGCAUGGAAAUAGCCCGUAUUGGAGUCUCCCAGAGUUAACCAUAACUGUUUGCUUCUUUGUUUCCAAUACUCCUCUUCCUUUAUAUAGGUUUGUAGCAAACUCAUAUUAAGUUGAUGUAUCAGAUGAUUGUUCGGAAUGGGGCUUGUCAUCGCAGCAUCUAGUUGAUCUCGGAGGAGAACCAAGGUUUUUCUGCUAUUUUCCUGGAACGCUUUGCUCCACUUACAGAUUUCUCUUCGACAAAGGCCUAGACGGUCCUCAACAUCAAGAUACGGGUUUGACUCCCAAACUUGUUGGAUAAGUGUUUUGAUCUCAGCAUUGUCUCUUAGCCUUCUGUCGAAUCUAAAAAUCUUCUUUCCUUUUUUCCUUGUUGUAUCCAGGAAAGAUAUGAGGGGACGAUGAUCAGAACCUUCGAACAUAAGGUACGUAUUGGCAUCGACACGACGGGAAUUUGUCUAUCCACUCACUGUUGCUAAUUGCUCUAUCCAAACGGCAUUGUACCACAUGUGAGUUCCUGUUCCCUCUCCAAGAUAGGAAAUUCCCAUAAUGUUUAAUAUUGAAAAGAUCAUUUUGUGAGAGAAAGGAUCUAAAUGCGCAGAAUGUUCCUUCUGCUCUCUCCGGACCUCAUGAUUUUUCACUGUUGUCAGUGAUUUCGUUGAAGUCUCCGGUUAAAAACCACGAUAGUAUAACACUAUAACUGUAAAGAUUGGUUUGUUAUAAGGUUGGAUUCAAACUUUUUCUCAGUUUAUAUAUGUUUUAUUUGUUUCAGGACCAGUCUCUCUAGGUGAUGGUAAGGUUUUACUCCUUUAACUUUUUCUCAGUAAUGGUAAGGUUGAUCGAGAGGUGGAGGAGUCUUUCCAUUCUAAGAGAACUUCGGACGCCAUUUUUUUCCCCUCCUUCCAAAUGAAGAAGGCAACGAGAGAGCAAAGACCAGCUUUAUCAUUAAUCGUUUUUUUCUUCGUAUUAAGGUUUCUCUUUGCUUGUGAUUCACGGAAGUAUCUCUUUGCUUUUAUUCAUGUGUUGUUCCUGGACCGGUUCUUGUUCUCUUUGUUCAGCUUUUAAGGUUUCUUUAUUGAAAUAAAUAAAACAUUUACAAGUUGACAAAUUCGUACAAUCUAUCGUGUACUAACUCACAAGCCCUGCCUACCAACGGAUUCAAAAUCCUAUACCCAUACCAUCCUCAUGAUGGGAUAGGUUCGUAGGUUUGGUUUAGUAUGCAUGCAUGUCCGUUUAACUUUUCUAUUUAAAACGAACUAUAUUAUAAAAAUAAUAUUAUAUCGACUAUUAAUUUAAUCAAUGGGUAAACCAUGCCACAUUGUUACAUCUGAUGUUAAUUUGUAUAUAUAGGAUACGGUAUACCACAAGCCGCUAAGACCUUUUGAACAUUUGCGGAUGAAACAUACGGAGGAAACAAUCGUUUAUUUAUGUAUUUACACAAACACGACUCUUGUUCUUUCAGUUUUCCGCAGCAUUCAGCAGACGGUUGACUUCCGGUUUGUCCUGCUGGUAUGCAUGGUGUAAGUUCUGUCGGGUUGCUUGCCACUUUCUCUUCUAAGACGUAUUGCUUUGGUCAGAGGCCGACACAAGGACUAUCACAAACGCGGUGCAUACUACUCCUGUGAACUUCAUGAUUUGUAAACUUUGCGACUUUCUCAAACUAAUUCUAGUUAUUAUUAUUUGUUUGAAGAAUGUUUUGAGAUGUUGUUUUUGAGGUGUUGAUAGUUGUUGUUCAAAAAAAGGGGGGUUGAUAGUUAAGCGUAGAUGGAGGCAAUGGGUAAACACAAUCUAUCAUAGACUAACUCACAACCUCGCCUAUUAACGGAUUUAAACUUCAAAACCAUACCAUCCGCAUGAUGGGUUUGGUUUAGCAUCCAUGCAUGUCCCUUUUGACAUUUUUUAUUUAAAACGAUCUAUACUAGAAAAAUGAUAUUAUAUUUGAUUAUAUUACAAGAAAAAAUGAUAUUUUAUUUGAUUAUUUAAUCAAUGGCGGUAAACCAUGACACAUUGUUACAUAGGAUUUUGAAAUUUGAAAUUUUAACAAGUAGGAUAAGGGAUACCACAAGUCGCUAAAACUUUGUGAGCAUUUUCAGAUGUAACAUACUGAGAAAACAAUGGGUUUUGUAUGUAACCACACAAACACGACUCUUGUUCUUUCAGUUUUCCGCAGCAUUCAGCGGACGGUUGACUUCCAGUUUGUAAUGCUGGUAUGCAUGUCAUAAGUUCUGUCGGGAUGCAUGCCACUUUCUCUUCCAAGUAUGCUUUGGUCGGAGCUAAAGCCGACACAAGGACUAUCAUAAACGCGAUGCAUACUACUUCUGUGAACCUCAUGUUUUGUAAGCUUAGCGACCUUUUCAACCAAAUUCUAGUUAUUAUUAUUUGUUUGAAGAAAGUGUGAGAUGUUGUUUUUGAGGUCUUGAUAGUUAAGCUACUUAUAUAGGUGGAGGCUGGAGUAAUAUUGAGGCUGACGUUUUAGGUAGUGU